rnacentral:rRNA from 1 species
AUCAAAAACAUUGCCUCUUGAUUUUUAAAUAAAAGGUUCAUCCUGCCCAAUGACUUAAUUAGUUAAAUGGCCGCGGUAUCCUGACCGUGCAAAGGUAGCAUAAUCAUUUGCCCCUUAAUUAGGGGCUAGAAUGAAAGGACAAACGAACGCUUCCCUGUCUCAUCGUAAUAACCAAAAAUUAAUCUUCAAGUGAAAAAGCUUGAAUAAAAUUGUAGGACAAGAAGACCCCGUUGAGCUUAAUUUUUAAUAGAAAAUACUAUUUAUUAUUAUAAUUUUUAACCUAAUCUAAAAUUUAGUUGGGGUGACUAAGGAACAUCAAAAACUUCCUCUCCAGACCUAGGAUCAUUUUCCUCUUUAAUUGAUCCUUAACCAAGACCAAAAAAAUAAGCUACCACAGGGAUAACAGGCUAAUCUUUCUUAAGAGUCCAAAUUGUCAGAAAGGAUUGGCACCUCGAUGUUGGCUUAGGGGCCCCUAACGGUGCAGAAGCCGUAAAGGUAGGUUUGUUCAACCUUUAAAACCCUACGUGAUCUGA